rnacentral:rRNA from 1 species
UUGGAGGGCAAGUCUGGUGCCAGCAGCCGCGGUAAUUCCAGCUCCAAUAGCGUAUAUUAAAGUUGUUGCAGUUAAAAAGCUCGUAGUUGAAUUUCGGGGUCAGUAGGUCGGUCGUGCCACUGGUAUGAACUGGUUUUACUGAUUCCUCCCUCUUGAAGAACUGUAAUGCCAUUAAUUUGGUGUUGCAGGGAAUCAGGACUGUUACUUUGAAAAAAUUAGAGUGUUUAAAGCAGGCUUUAGCUUGAAUACAUUAGCAUGGAAUAAUGAAAUAGGACGUUUGAUCCUAUUUUGUUGGUUUCUAGGAUUGACGUAAUGAUUAAUAGGGAUAGUUGGGGGCAUUAGUAUUCAAUUGUCAGAGGUGAAAUUCUUGGAUUUAUUGAAGACUAACUACUGCGAAAGCAUUUGCCAAGGAUGUUUUCAUUAAUCAAGAACGAAAGUUAGGGGAUCGAAGACGAUCAGAUACCGUCGUAGUCUUAACCAUAAACUAUGCCGACUAGGGAUCGGAUGAUGUUAAUUUUUUAAUGACCCAUUCGGCGCCUUACGGGAAAC